AAGUCUUGCCCAAUUCACUGUCAUUUUCGCCCACAGGUUUAACAAUUCUUCACAUUUGGCCAAGGUGGAUUCUUCGGAACUUUUGAAGGACAUAGAUGCAAGUUCAAAGGAGUAUUAUUGGGAGGAGGAUCUUUCCCGUUCGGUUUAGGUAGCUCUUCGGUGCAACUAUCUUAGUUAUGGUUUAAUCCUUUUAUAAUCUCU
rnacentral:lncRNA from 1 species